rnacentral:lncRNA from 1 species
AUAAAUACCUUAAGAAUCUUUUUUAAUAUGCACACCAAUUAGCUUCUUAACAAAUUCAGGCUAGAGAAUCGUACUUUGAGAUACUAUUCCAGCUAUUUGCACAACUAAGCACCUCAACCCAUUUAUCAGAAAAGGGGCAGGAUUAUUAGCACAGAUGUUUACAUUUAUAAUACUCCUACUGUCAUGGUUAUGUGGAGUUUGCUUUUAUUGUCAUUGAAGAGCAGUGACACUGCUGUAGCAAGGCAUCAGAGAAACCAGCAAAAUCUAGGUCUCAUUAGAGCAUUUUCCAGUUUUACCUCUUAACUGAUGUGCUGCCAAGGCUUUUUCUAUGUUGACAAUGGUGUUGACUUGACCAAGGCAGCAUCAUAAAAUCUGUGGGCCCCUACAAGGCAAGAGUAACGUUUCAUAAAGUCGUCCUUAUGAGAUAUUCUUUGGCUUCUCCAUAAAUUUCAUUACUUUCUACUGCAAAGCAUUCAGAGACUUUCAGCUCCCCAUGGCCUCAGUGAAGGAUAAGACUUUCUCAGCUCUUGGAUGGAUUAUGCUCAUGUGGACCCUGCAGUCAGGAAACUCCUCUGCUUCACUAGUGCAUUUAAUUGCCCCCAGCCUUAGUUUUCACUCUCUGCCAUGAAUACAGUCCCUUAAAUGCACUUGACAGCAGGCACCGUGAAAAGCCUUUUUUAUUCCCAUGCAUUAAAAGUGACUGAGUAACACAUGAUUGGAAGAAUGAAGCAUUACCCAUGUGUGAACAGUGAGGAGAUAUACAGCAAAAAGCAAGAGUGAAUUUUGGGACAGAUUGAAAGAGAUGUGUGAUGAAGAUAAGUAGUGCCAAGAGAGAACAGAGGGGGGAAGUUAAAGGACGUGAUAGACUCUCCAUAAAAAACACUCAAUGGAAACUAAAGGAGCUAAAAGAUGAGAAAAUAGUGACCAUCUGCAGCCAUCCAGGGAAUACCAAAAUGGCAGCUUCAGACCUCCCUAUAGGUAACCCAGCUAAAAGAAUGCACUUCGAUUUACAAUUCAAGACCAGACUCGAUCAUUUUUCCAGCACAGACCUUGAUGCCACUUUUUGGAAGCCUGCUGUGUGAACAUUUCAGAGCCCAGGAGACAGCUGUGAGCACGGAUCCACUGUCACCUAUGGAGUCACCUGCUGAGCUUUAUCCCAAAAUAAAACAUCCUACUAGGGAGCA